rnacentral:rRNA from 1 species
GCGGCGGAGCAUGCGGAUUAAUUCGAUGCAACGCGAAGAACCUUACCAAGGCUUGACAUACACCGGUAACGCCCAGAGAUGGGUGCCCCUUUGUGGUCGGUGUACAGGUGGUGCAUGGUUGUCGUCAGCUCGUGUCGUGAGAUGUUGGGUUAAGUCCCGCAACGAGCGCAACCCUCGUCCUAUGUUGCCAGCGGGUCAUGCCGGGGACUCAUGGGAGACUGCCGGGGUCAACUCGGAGGAAGGUGGGAUGACGUCAAAUCAUCAUGCCCCUUAUGUCUUGGGCUUCACGCAUGCUACAAUGGCCGGUACAAAGGGCUGCGAUACCGCGAGGUGGAGCGAAUCCCAGAAAGCCGGUCUCAGUUCGGAUUGGGGUCUGCAACUCGACCCCAUGAAGUCGGAGUCGCUAGUAAUCGCAGAUCAGCAACGCUGCGGUGAAUACGUUCCCGGGCCUU